AGAGUUUGAUCAUGGCUCAGGAUAAACGCUGGCGGCGUGCCUAACACAUGCAAGUCGAACGCGCUGAGCAAUCAGCGAGUGGCGGACGGGUGAGUAACACAUAGGUCACCUACCCCGAAGUGAGGAAUACCGGCGAGAAAUCGCCGACAAGACCGCAUAGGCUUCGCGAGAAGCAAAGUCGCAAGACGCUUUGGGAUGGGCCUGUGGCCGAUUAGCUGGUUGGUGGGGUAAUGGCCUACCAAGACGACGAUCGGUAGCUGGUCUGAGAGGAUGAUCAGCCACACUGGGAUUGAGAACGGCCCAGACUCCUACGGGAGGCAGCAGUGAGGAAUUUUCGGCAAUGGGCAAAAGCCUGACCGAGCAACGCCGCGUGCAGGACGAAGGUCUUCGGAUCGUAAACUGCUUUUCUCGGGGAAGAGAAUGGACGGUACCCGAGGAAGAAGCCUCGGCUAGCUACGUGCCAGCAGCCGCGGUAAGACGUAGGAGGCAAGUGUUGUCCGGAGUUACUGGGCGUAAAGCGCCCGCAGGGCGGUCUGUUAAGUUCAGGGUGACAGUCAUCAGCUUAACUGGUGAAGUGUCUUGAAAACUGACGGACUUGA
rnacentral:rRNA from 1 species